rnacentral:rRNA from 1 species
GACAGAGGAGCCAAGCGUUGUCCGGAUUGACUGGGCGUAAAGCGCACGCAGGCGGGUGCGCGCGGGGGGGGUGAAACCUGGCCGCUUAACGGCCAGCGGCCAUCCCAUACGGCGCGCCUGGAGCCUUGCAGAGGGCGGUGGAAUUGCCGGUGUAGUGGUGAAAUUCGUAGAUAUUCGGAAGAACACCAGUGGCGAAGGCGACUUACUGGACACAUAUUGACGCUGAGGUGCGAAAGCGUGGGGAGCAAACAGG